rnacentral:misc_RNA from 1 species
AAGUCGUAACAAGGUUUCCGUAGGUGAACCUGCGGAAGGAUCAUUAAAGUGUUUCGGAGCCUGACUCGGGCAUCUCACCUCGAGGUGUCGGUGUCAGCGCCCCCACACGUGUUUACUCAACUUGGUUGCCUUGGUGAGCCUGCCCUUGUGGCUGCCGGGGAUGUCUCACGACGUUCCGGGCUCGUGCUCACCAGUGGAUCAUUUGAACUCUUCUGUGAAAAUAGUCAGUCUGAGCAUUAUGCAAAUUAAAUAAAACUUUCAACAACGGAUCUCUUGGUUCCG